rnacentral:rRNA from 1 species
CGGGACUGAAAUGAUUAGAAUUUAACGACCUUUACGAGGAACAAUUGGAGGGCAAGUCUGGUGCCAGCAGCCGCGGUAAUUCCAGCUCCAAUAGCGUAUAUUAAAGUUGUUGCAGUUAAAAAGCUCGUAGUUGGAUUUCUGGCAGAGCGUCCUCCGUCCGACAGUUCGUUUGGCUCGGAGCGCUCUACCAUCCUUCUGUUAACCUUUACGGAAUUUACUUUCUGCACUGGGGCUCAGAUAUUUUACCUUGAGAAAAUUAGAGUGUUUCAGGCAGGCUUUCGCCGGAAUACAUUAGCAUGGAAUAAUGGAAAAGGACUUCAACCUCUUCUGUUGGUCUGGGAGGCUGUAGUAAUGAUUAAUAGGGAUAGUUGGGGGCAUUAGUACUUGACUGUCAGAGGUGAAAUUCUCCGAUUUGUUAAAGACUAACUUAUGCGAAAGCAUUUGCCAAGGAUGUUUUCAUUAAUCAAGAACGAAAGUUAGGGGAUCAAAGACGAUCAGAUACCGUCCUAGUCUUAACCAUAAACUAUGCCGACUCGGGAUCGGAGGCACGCAAAAUCGGUCUUCGGCACCGUAUGAGAAAUCAAAGUCUUUGGGUUCUGG